CAGAUUUAUCAUCCAGUACUAUUGAGCGCCUCAUCAAGAUAGAAAAAAUGCUAACAUACAUGCGUCGAAUUUAUACCAUGCAACAAACAAGCGAUGCCUGUAUACACAUGAGAGAUAUGAAAAGUAUGAUAACCCACCUCGGCAAUGUUUCAAUUUCAACUGCGGGUAUCAAGAUGCCAGUUCUCAAUGAUGAAGAGUUGGCGAAUUUGGAAAAUUACUCGGAAACAGCUGAAGGAAAGGCGGUUUUGCGUCAACGAUUUGAAGGAGAGAACUGCGAAACUCUAUACAAUUAUUGCAGACAUUUCUCGGAGCAACUAUUUGAGCAUACGAGCUACACCACUUGGAGUGGAAAUACUGCUCACAAUGCUCGUAGUUUAAUACAACCGAAGUGACCAUCGGAGAUGAAUCUUGUUCAAAUAUUACUUGAUGUGACUCAGAAUAAAUUCUCCGUAGAAAGAAAAGAAGUGAAAGUUCAUCAGAGCUCUAAAAAAUUUGAACGAAACGCAAAAGGCACGUAAGCGACGACGUUAUGCGAAGGAUAUUACAUCAAACUCGGAACCAGUGCACUAACCUGAUUAACAAAUGUUCUAAUCCCCAAAACUCGUUUAAUAUAAGAGAAAUGCAAAUAUUUCCAAUUUUAAUACCGGGGCGAUA